GAAGUAAAUUUUUUUUUUAAGAAAAAAAAAAACAAAGGAAAAUUCUGUAGGAAACCCAAGAAACGAACUAUGCAGCUGGGGAGAGAGUGUUGAAGAAGUCUGGCAAAGUGCAGAAGUGGGAAAGGGACGAGUAAGAUGAGCUGUGGCUUAACUUUGCAUUAGCAUAAAUUAAUCAAAUUAAAACAGCAUAAUUUAGCAGACAACUGAUUGUAAUAAAACAAAUUAAAAUUUUUAGUUUAAUAUUUGUUUGAUGAACCAUCUUCACCAAAAUUA
rnacentral:misc_RNA from 1 species